GGAAUAUUGUAGCUAUAGAAUCAAAUAAUUCACUCUUAGCUUCUCAACUUGGUAUUUUGUCAUACAAAUGCAUUCUUUCAUCCUCUAUAAGUUGCAAUUUUAUCCUUAUUGCAGAAAAUAUUUGACAAAAGCCGCAGUUUGCAAAUAUUGAUCAAGUCUUGAUGUCGCAAGCCAAGAAUUGCCAGAGGAAGGUGAAUUUGACAGGUUUGGCAUUUUGCUUUGGUAUUUUCUUUAUGAAGAUAAUGACACCUUUUCAUUACAAGGCCAUGGUUUUUGGGUGCGAACCGUAGCCCGCCCGCCCACGUGGGCCCCACACGACGGGGCAUACGUUCUCGUCUCACCACGUGGGACGUGGGACACUAGAGAACUACUGUUUCUUCAAAUUAAUGGCUAACCUUGCUUAAGGCUGGUAGUGAUGAUGAUGAUAUCUUCAACUUAUUCAGCUAAUGUUUGGAUAAGCUAAUGACAUUUAUCCUUUGAUGCUAUUAAAAAUAAAAGUUUUGGCAGUUUGCAGUAUGCUUUACAUUGAUGCAUCGGCCAUCAUGCUAAGUCUUUCUCUCUCAGGCAAUGGGACUUCUCGCCAUAAAAUUAAAUGGUUAAGUGUUCUAUUUUAUAUUUCAACAUGAACUAUAUUCUAUGAAUACAAUGUAUCUAAGAUUUUUUUUCCAUA